rnacentral:rRNA from 1 species
ACGGGUGAGUAAUGUCUGGGAAACUGCCUGAUGGAGGGGGAUAACUACUGGAAACGGUAGCUAAUACCGCAUAACGUCGCAAGACCAAAGAGGGGGACCUUCGGGCCUCUUGCCAUCAGAUGUGCCCAGAUGGGAUUAGCUAGUAGGUGGGGUAACGGCUCACCUAGGCGACGAUCCCUAGCUGGUCUGAGAGGAUGACCAGCCACACUGGAACUGAGACACGGUCCAGACUCCUACGGGAGGCAGCAGUGGGGAAUAUUGCACAAUGGGCGCAAGCCUGAUGCAGCCAUGCCGCGUGUAUGAAGAAGGCCUUCGGGUUGUAAAGUACUUUCAGCGGGGAGGAAGGUGUUGCGGUUAAUAACCGCAGCAAUUGACGUUACCCGCAGAAGAAGCACCGGCUAACUCCGUGCCAGCAGCCGCGGUAAUACGGAGGGUGCAAGCGUUAAUCGGAAUUACUGGGCGUAAAGCGCACGCAGGCGGUCUGUCAAGUCGGAUGUGAAAUCCCCGGGCUCAACCUGGGAACUGCAUUCGAAACUGGCAGGCUAGAGUCUUGUAGAGGGGGGUAGAAUUCCAGGUGUAGC